GACGAACGCUGGCGGCGUGCCUAAUACAUGCAAGUAGAACGCUGAAGAGAGGAGCUUGCUCUUCUUGGAUGAGUUGCGAACGGGUGAGUAACGCGUAGGUAACCUGCCUUGUAGCGGGGGAUAACUAUUGGAAACGAUAGCUAAUACCGCAUAACAAUGGAUGACACAUGUCAUUUAUUUGAAAGGGGCAAUUGCUCCACUACAAGAUGGACCUGCGUUGUAUUAGCUAGUAGGUGAGGUAAUGGCUCACCUAGGCGACGAUACAUAGCCGACCUGAGAGGGUGAUCGGCCACACUGGGACUGAGACACGGCCCAGACUCCUACGGGAGGCAGCAGUAGGGAAUCUUCGGCAAUGGGGGCAACCCUGACCGAGCAACGCCGCGUGAGUGAAGAAGGUUUUCGGAUCGUAAAGCUCUGUUGUAAGUCAAGAACGGGUGUGAGAGUGGAAAGUUCACACUGUGACGGUAGCUUACCAGAAAGGGACGGCUAACUACGUGCCAGCAGCCGCGGUAAUACGUAGGUCCCGAGCGUUGUCCGGAUUUAUUGGGCGUAAAGCGAGCGCAGGCGGUUUGAUAAGUCUGAAGUUAAAGGCUGUGGCUCAACCAUAGUUCGCUUUGGAAACUGUCAAACUUGAGUGCAGAAGGGGAGAGUGGAAUUCCAUGUGUAGCGGUGAAAUGCGUAGAUAUAUGGAGGAACACCGGUGGCGAAAGCGGCUCUCUGGUCUGUAACUGACGCUGAGGCUCGAAAGCGUGGGGAGCGAACAGGAUUAGAUACCCUGGUAGUCCACGCCGUAAACGAUGAGUGCUAGGUGUUGGAUCCUUUCCGGGAUUCAGUGCCGNAGCUAACGCAUUAAGCACUCCGCCUGGGGAGUACGACCGCAAGGUUGAAACUCAAAGGAAUUGACGGGGGCCCGCACAAGCGGUGGAGCAUGUGGUUUAAUUCGAAGCAACGCGAAGAACCUUACCAGGUCUUGACAUCCCGAUGCUAUUUCUAGAGAUAGAAAGUUACUUCGGUACAUCGGUGACAGGUGGUGCAUGGUUGUCGUCAGCUCGUGUCGUGAGAUGUUGGGUUAAGUCCCGCAACGAGCGCAACCCCUAUUGUUAGUUGCCAUCAUUCAGUUGGGCACUCUAGCGAGACUGCCGGUAAUAAACCGGAGGAAGGUGGGGAUGACGUCAAAUCAUCAUGCCCCUUAUGACCUGGGCUACACACGUGCUACAAUGGUUGGUACAACGAGUUGCGAGUCGGUGACGGCGAGCUAAUCUCUUAAAGCCAAUCUCAGUUCGGAUUGUAGGCUGCAACUCGCCUACAUGAAGUCGGAAUCGCUAGUAAUCGCGGAUCAGCACGCCGCGGUGAAUACGUUCCCGGGCCUUGUACACACCGCCCGUCACACCACGAGAGUUUGUAACACCCGAAGUCGGUGAGGUAACCUUUUGGAGCCAGCCGCCUAAGGUGGGACAGAUGAUUGGGGUGAAG
rnacentral:rRNA from 1 species